AUCCAGGUGAUGAGUCUCAAAUGGGACGAAACGUGCGUAAACUGGAU
rfam:Schistosoma rodhaini strain Burundi genome assembly, scaffold: SROB_scaffold0001328